rnacentral:lncRNA from 1 species
AGGGCGCAGGCGCAGGCGCGCGGCCGUGGCGGCGGUUGGGGAGGGUUCUUCCGGAAGGUUCCGGAGCCUUCUGGAAAAGGCGCCGCGCGCUGGGCGGGCCCGCCGCUAUAUAAGGGCGGCGCGGGGGCGGCGCGCCAGUUGCUUCAGCGUCCUGGUGCUGCUACGCCGCGGAUCCCGUGCGGUUGUCCAGCCAAGGUGAGAGCCCCGGGCGGGGGACGGAGGCGGGGAACGGGGCUCCGGGGCGCGGCGCGGAGUGGGGUGCGGCCCUGGCCCACGGCGGGGCCGGUGGAGCAGGGUGCGGGCCUUGGCCGCGGCGGGCCUUCGCGAGGGCCUGGGCGUUCCGCCCGCGCAGGGCCGCGGCGGGGGCCGCCAUGGCGGGGCGGGGGCGGCCUUGAACGGCGUGCGCGGGCCCCGGCGCCCUGCGGCCGCAAUGAGGUCAUCCUUUGUCGGCCGUCCCCACGCCCGGGCCGGGCCGCGCUGUCCGCAGAAAGCCAUGGGCCCGGGCCGCGGUGCACCGGGGCUCAGCGCGCGCGGUCCUUGUAGAUGCCGGAGGAGACACAGACACAAGACCAGCCCAUGGAGGAGGAGGAGGUGGAGACCUUCGCCUUCCAGGCGGAGAUUGCCCAGUUGAUGUCGCUGAUCAUCAACACUUUCUACUCGAACAAAGAGAUCUUCCUGCGGGAGCUGAUCUCCAACUCGUCGGACGUAAGUGCCCCGGGAGCCUGGCGCCGGGCGUGGUUGGGCUAGGGCCUCCCCGGGCGCUGCGCGUGACUCCUGAGUGUCUCUCUUCCAGGCCCUGGACAAAAUCAGAUACGAAAGCCUGACGGAUCCCAGUAAGCUAGACUCCGGGAAGGAGCUGCAUAUUAACCUCAUUCCAAACAAACAAGACCGAACCCUCACGAUCGUGGAUACUGGAAUUGGAAUGACCAAGGCCGACCUGAUCAAUAACCUUGGUACUAUCGCCAAGUCUGGGACCAAAGCGUUCAUGGAGGCUUUGCAGGCUGGCGCAGACAUCUCCAUGAUUGGCCAGUUCGGUGUCGGUUUUUAUUCUGCGUAUUUGGUUGCCGAGAAAGUGACUGUGAUCACCAAGCACAACGAUGAUGAGCAGUAUGCCUGGGAGUCCUCGGCUGGGGGCUCCUUCACCGUCAGGACUGAUACAGGUGGGCACGGGGUAGAAAAGUUGCUUCUGUCAGUCACGUGGGGCAGAGUACUGCCAACGCUGGACAUCCAAAAAUGCUGUGAAAUGUGUAAAACUAAGUUCGUUUACCUAAUAUCUUGGGCAAGAGCUUAAAACUGCUCUUGGGAACCUUUGUAGUGGUUAGGAAACCUCACCUCAGGCUUGAUCAGAAGGCUGUUAGGUGUGGCACAGCUAGAUAGGUAAUGUUCAUUUGGCCAUGGAAAUAUAGAUUGGCUAGGGUUGUGGCUCAGUUGGUAGAAUGCUUGCCUAGCACGUGAGGCACUGGGUUCUAUUCUCAGCACCACAUAAGGAAAAUAAAACUGUUGUGUUCAUUUACUAUACAACUUUUUUUAAAAGUAUGAAUUCAGGGACUGCGGUUGUAGCUCAGUGAUAGAGGGCUUGCCUAGCACGUGUGAGGCCCUGGGUUUGAUCCUCAAAACCACGUAACAAAAUUGAAAAUAAUGCUAAAAAUUAAAUUCUGUGCACUCUCACUUUCUUUUUCAGGAGAACCAAUGGGUCGUGGGACAAAGGUCAUCCUGCAUUUGAAAGAAGACCAAACUGAGUACUUGGAGGAAAGAAGAAUAAAGGAGAUUGUGAAGAAACAUUCCCAAUUUAUUGGGUAUCCCAUUACUCUUUUUGUAAGUGUCCAUGGCAAUGCAAAGUAAUCUAUAUGGAAAUAAGAGACUGAAUUCAGCCCUUAGUGCCUAUAUGUUUGAAGUACCCAAACUUUGUAAAAAGUUUGCUGACUAGUCUGAAGCUAAGUCCCUAGGGCUGGUCAGGAGGUGCAUCAGAUAUUGAGAGUAGCUUUGUGGCUGUUUAAUGCCUCAGUUUGGCCAAUGUAGGCUUUUUAGUGGAAGCAAACCAUGCUUUCAAUCUAUCCUUGAGUUCUGCAGUGCAUAGGUGAUGUGAUUUCUGUCUCUGAAGGUGGAGAAGGAACGUGAUAAAGAAGUCAGUGAUGAUGAGGCUGAAGAAAAAGAAGAUAAAGAGGAGGAAAAAGAAAAAGAAGAAAAAGAGCCUGACGACAAACCUGAAAUUGAAGAUGUUGGUUCUGAUGAAGAGGAAGAAGAAAAGAAGGAUGGUGACAAGAAGAAGAAGAAGAAAAUUAAGGAGAAGUACAUCGAUCAUGAAGAACUCAACAAAACAAAGCCCAUUUGGACCAGAAAUCCUGAUGAUAUCACUAAUGAAGAGUACGGAGAGUUUUAUAAGAGCUUGACCAAUGAUUGGGAGGAUCACUUGGCAGUGAAGGUGAGUGGAUGACUUAGGGCAUCAAUGCCAGUGUGCCUCCAGGUUUUCCGUUGAAUUUUGAGGGUUGUCUUCACCCCCUCAGCUCCAAACACUGUUAAGUUUAUCAAAGUGCAAGUGUGAAUCUGAUGGGUAGCCCCUGUGGAAGUUGGCUGGUACUGGCCUGGUCCUUUACAUUGCACUUAAUUUUUUGUUACAGCAUUUUUCAGUUGAAGGACAGUUGGAAUUCAGAGCUCUUCUUUUUGUCCCAAGACGGGCUCCUUUUGACCUCUUUGAAAACAGAAAGAAAAAGAACAACAUUAAGUUGUACGUACGCAGAGUUUUCAUCAUGGACAACUGUGAGGAGCUAAUCCCUGAAUAUCUGAGUAAGUAAGAAAUGAAAGAAUGAUCACUGUCACUUGAGGGUUAGGGUGGCAGAGCACUAAACUGUCACAUGACAUGCAAAGGACCCUGUCCCUGUCUCUGUAUUUAACACCAGUGUUGUCUAUCAAAUGAGUCCCUUGGGUCUUUCUAUUUUCCAUUCAUUAGAUUUCAUUAGAGGAGUGGUGGAUUCUGAGGAUCUUCCUCUAAACAUUUCCCGUGAAAUGCUGCAACAGAGCAAAAUUUUGAAAGUCAUUAGAAAGAAUUUGGUCAAAAAAUGCUUAGAACUCUUCACUGAACUGGCAGAAGAUAAAGAGAACUACAAAAAAUUCUAUGAGCAGUUCUCUAAAAAUAUAAAGGUAAACACAUUGGCUGCUUAUUAGCAGUUUUCUAACUAUAAUUUUAAGUUAUUUUUAAAAAUACAGAAAACUAAGAUCAAUACUUUUUUCAGCUUGGAAUACAUGAAGACUCUCAAAAUCGAAAGAAGCUUUCAGAGCUGUUACGAUACUACACCUCUGCUUCUGGGGAUGAGAUGGUUUCUCUCAAGGACUAUUGCACCAGAAUGAAGGAAAACCAGAAACACAUCUACUACAUCACAGGUAACAGUAAAUGUUACAAUCCAUUGCUUAGUUCUUGUGGCUUCAUACCACAAGACCAUGGGUGGGUUGAUUCUUUAAGUGGCUCUAUACGUUGGGUGUAAUUUUAUUGCUUUAGGCAAGAUAUUUAACAUGAGGGACUGGGAUUGUGGCUCAGCGAUAGAGUGCUCACCUCGCAUAUGUAAGACCACAUAAAAUAAAUAAGUGAAAUAAAGGUAGAACCCAGAUAAUAAUGAGUGUGGCUAGAUCAUGCUUGUUAAUUAUCUGAAUUCUUUUAAAAUCAAAAUUGGUGAAGCCACUUUCUUAAAGGUCUAAAAUGGUAAUUUUACAAUACCUCAGGUGAGACCAAGGACCAGGUAGCUAACUCUGCAUUUGUGGAGCGUCUUCGGAAGCAUGGUUUGGAAGUGAUCUACAUGAUUGAGCCCAUCGAUGAGUACUGUGUCCAACAGCUGAAGGAAUUUGAGGGGAAGACUUUAGUGUCUGUCACCAAAGAGGGCUUGGAGCUUCCAGAAGACGAAGAAGAGAAGAAGAAACAGGAAGAGAAAAAGACAAAGUUUGAAAACCUCUGCAAGAUCAUGAAGGACAUCUUGGAGAAAAAGGUUGAAAAGGUAUGUGAGUACUCAAGUUUCUAUCUCCCUUUGUAAUUAUUAACCUAAGGUGUUUUGCUUAGUCAUGCCAACCCCUGUGAGUUUUUUAAUUUGGCAAAAAAAAAAAACUUGAAAAACUAGCCUGUGUAAUUUAUGGCUCUUUUGCAGAUAAUUACCAUUUUUGAUCCAUUCAUUGGUACUAAACCAGUUACUUGGAUUUUAUUCAUUUUUCCCAAGGAAAGCUAAAGGAAGAGGUUAAAAUAAUUUUUCUAGGCCUACUUAACACUUAAGGCCUUGAUUUACAUACAGGUGGUUGUGUCAAACCGAUUGGUGACCUCUCCAUGCUGUAUCGUCACAAGCACAUACGGCUGGACAGCAAACAUGGAAAGAAUCAUGAAAGCUCAAGCUCUCAGAGACAACUCUACAAUGGGCUACAUGGCAGCAAAGAAACACCUGGAGAUAAAUCCUGACCACUCCAUUAUUGAGACCUUGAGGCAAAAGGCAGAGGCUGACAAGAAUGAUAAGUCUGUGAAAGAUCUGGUCAUCUUGCUGUACGAAACUGCUCUCCUGUCUUCUGGCUUCAGUUUGGAAGAUCCCCAGACCCAUGCUAACAGGAUCUACAGGAUGAUCAAACUUGGUCUAGGUAAGCCGUCAUCUGCAGGAAGAAACGUGUUUGUAGGGACAUAGUCUUCUAAUAGAAUGUUUAUUGUAAUUGGUAAGCCCACUGCUUGAAGAACUCUAACGUGGUGGCUUGGUUUCCGAAACAGGUAUUGAUGAGGAUGAUCCCACUGCUGACGACACCAGUGCUGCUGUAACAGAAGAGAUGCCACCCCUGGAAGGAGAUGAUGACACAUCACGCAUGGAAGAAGUAGACUAAGUUUCUGAAGAACUACUCAUAUGUGUGUCCCCCACUUCACCUUCAUUCCUGAUACCUUUUCAAGGAUUUUUUUGUUCUUUGUUUUUGUUAACAUUUAUUAAAAUGUGUAUGGCAUGAUGAUGAUGAUAUCUACUUAAAGGGGAGAUAAGAUUUCUUUGUACUUUUAAGUGAUAUACUGUGAUACUUUAGGCACUAAAGCAGAGCUAGUAAUGCUUUUUCUAGUCUCACAUUGGCUUAUUUUAACAGGUUGAGAUGUUUGUUCUAAGACAUGUAACCUAACAUUGUAGUCUAAAGUGUUCCACUACCAAGUUGUAUCCCUUAGUAGACCAGACCGAAUCUUUUGUCCCUGAAGUGUUCCAAGAUAGACCUUGAUGUUUAAAAGAAAGAUAUUUGUUAAAAUGGCUUGAGUUUCAUCUCAUUAGGAUCCCCUGUAGUUACCCACUGUGCAUGUACUAGUCCUCUAGAACCAAGUAUGUGAAACAGACAACUGGCUGGGAGGAACUCUACAGGGAUUGUUUUCCAAAGAAAAGUAUUUCAAGAGACAAAGCUUAAACCUCCCUUGGGUGUGUUACAAAGCUGUUCAAAAAGUAACUCAGUAAGGCUUGUGAAUGGAAAUAUGUAGUGCUCAAGUCAACAUUCUGCUUUAAACAGUAAUAAAUGCAGAUGAGUUAAGAACAGUGUGUCUUAUUUUGGAGCAAAAGGAGGGGAGUGAGUUUUAAUGGUUGGACUGCAUUGGCCCCCAGUAGUUGAAAGUGCCUGGACCCAGUGAAGGUGAAUAAUUAAUGCUGGCUACUCUUUGAUAUGGAGCUAUACCUCCCAAGGUGCAUGUGGGUAGCUGGCAGGUGAAGGGCAUGUUUCAGUAAACAUGGGAUCAGAAAACUGUUCCCUGUAAUUUUGUUUUUCCACCCGUACCCAGUCUUCUCACACAGGCAAAGCUCCACAGCUGGGCUGCAUUUCUAGCAUUACAUUUUUUUUAAUAGAUCCCCUUAGUUUUGUGAGUUUCUAUGUUUUGGGUUACUGGGGAUUAAACCCAGGGGGCACUUAACCACUUAGCUACAUCCCCAGCUCUUUUGCCUCAGCCUCCCUAUCCACUGGGAUUACAAGCAUGUGCCUCCAAGCCCAGCUACCCUUAACUUUUUCAGUUGUAGAUGGACACAAUACCUGUAGUGUUUUAUAUAGUGCUGGGGAUAGAACCCAGUACCUUGUGUGUGUUAGGCAAGCACUUUACAACUGAGCCACAACCUCACUCCCCUUACUAUUUUUAUAUCCAAACUUGGGCGGGGAGGCAGCAGUACUGGGGAUUGAACUCUGGAGCACUCAACCACUAAGCCAUAUCCCCAGCCCAUACUGCUGUUAUCAGUCCUAGCCUCUCCCCCAUCCAAACUUUUUUAAAAAAUAUGGUUCUGGGUCUUGCCAGCAUGGAACUUGGUGAUCCUCCUGCCCUCUAUCUGUGUAUCCUGGAUUAUAAUCAUGUGCUGCUGCACCUGCUCUGUGUGUGUGUGUGUGUGAGUGAAACACCUUAUACUCUUAAAUAUAGCCUCUUAGUUCCUUGACCUUGUGUCUUAAGUUUUCACAAAGUCUACUUAGAGCCAUCUGUGUUAGCUUUUCAUCUUUGUGACCAAAAUACCUUAUGAGCAAUUCAAAUAUUUUGGUUUAUGAGUUCAAAGAUUCAGAUGAUGGUAACUCCAAGGCAGAAAUAUCCUGAAGACAUGGCAGCAGAAAGCUACUGAGCUCAAGGCUGAGAGGAAGGGGCUGGGCUGAGGCAGACCCCAGUGAUUUCCUUCCUCCAGAGAAGAAGUACUCCAUGCACCCACCAUGGGUCCACUGAGGUCUGAGCCUUCCAGGUAACUUUCCAGAAGCCCCACCUCUCAACACAGGAGGCUUGGGGUGGGGGGGGGUUCUUUCCAGAUUGAGAGCACAGUGCAGUCCCACCUUUCUCAAUAGUGAAGGUUGUCAUGGACAACUGAGCAAAGUGGAGCUGAGCUGGGGAAUGGGGUCCCAGGAGAGGGAGACAGUCCCUAAAUUGCUCCUAGAAAGAGUCAUUUGUACCAAGUGGCUCAUAGAAUUGGGAUCUGAAUCCAAAAAGGAAUGGGUGGGACUUUCUAAUGCCUAGUUUAGCAGUGAUUGAGAUUGAGAUACACACAAAGGAGACUUGGUCUGUAUUCCCCUACUGCCUAGGUACCAGGCACUCGGUAUGUGGUAAUCACAUUUAGCCCUUCAAAUCCCCUGAGAAAGAGGAAUUGAAACCUUAGUAUUUGAAUCCUACUUUAACUCAAAGCCAGUUCUGCUAUUUUGUUGCUUGCAGAAAGCUGUUAUCCCAGUGAGAUUUACAGUGUUAAACUAGGAACCGGAUAGUAAAGGGGUUGCAAGUGUUGGGCACAAUGGCACAUGCCUGUAAUACCAGCUACAUGGGAGGCCGAGGCAGGAGGAUUGCAAAUCUGAGGCCAGCCUGGGCAAUCUUAGUGAAGGCCCUGUCUCAAAAAUAAGAAAGUCUAGGGAUACAGCUGAAAGUAAUGGAAAGUAAUGGAUUCAAUCCCCAGUACUGAAAGGAAAAAAAAGUAAAAAAUGUAUAUUUUACUAAACACACACACAAAAUAGAGGAAAUUGUUUUAUGAACCAGCAUGUACCCAUUGCCCCAAAUAUUGUUAUAGUAUUUAUUUGAAUUUAUCUAUUUAUUUAAAUUUAUUUAUUGUAGUCCUGGGGAUCAAACCCAGGGCUUUGUGCUGGCUAGAUAGGAAUUCUUCCACUGAACUAUCCCCCAGCCCUUGAAUUUGUUGUUUUUGUUGUUGUUUGGUUGGUUUUUGAGAUGGGGUUUUACUGUGCUAUUCGAGAUGGUCUUGAAUUCCUGGGCUCACAUGAUCUUCUUGCUUCAGUCUCCUGAAUGCUGGCAUUACUGGUCUGUGCCACAGCACCUGGCUGAAUCUGGAGUCUUUUCAUUGGUGCUGGGGAUCGAACCCAGAGCCUCACAUGCGCUAGGCAAGCGCUGUACCACUGAGCUACACCAAGCCUUUCAAGGAGAUUUUUUUUCAGUCCUGAGACUUAGACCAGGACCUCGCACAUGCUGAGAACAUGCUACACAGUGAGCUUUGUUCCCAACCCCUGAAUUUGGAUUUUUUUUGUUUUGUUUUUGUUACCCAGGGGUGCUCUACCACUGAGCUGCAUCCCCAGUCCUUUUUAAAAGUUUUUAUUGAGUCAGAGCCAGGGCCUUGCUAAAUUGCCCAGACUGGCCUGAAAUUUGGGUUUCCCUGAUCUCAGCACCCCACCCAGUAGCUAGGAAUGAACACCAUACUCAGUUAGAUGGGGGAUUCAAAGCAAAACCCAGGCUCUUCACACUCCAAAGCUCCUCUGCCUGAGAUAGGGAUGGUCUUUGUGUAUGUGUGUGUGUGUGUGUGUGGGGGGGUAAAUAUUUGUAACAAAAUUUAUCAUUUUGACCAUUUAAAGUACAAACUAAGUGCUAUUAACUACCCUCACAGAAUUUUUCAAACUAUCACAUCACUAUUUCUUUUUUUUAAUCUUUUUAAUAUUUACUUUUUUAGUUUUAGGUGGACACAAUAUUCUUAUUUUUAUGUAGUGCUGAGAAUUGAACGCAGUGCCUCAUGAAUGCUAGGCGAGUGCGCUACCACUUGAGCCACAUCCCCAGCCCCACUAUUUCUCUUUUUAAACUAAAAUUACUUUUUAGAUCAGAAUUUAUUAUAUGCUAUUGCACUUACAUAGUGAAAUACAAAAUUAUGUAGAGAACAUUCUGCUGACAUUUUAUUAUGUAUUGAGUUUAUAUAGCAGGGGAAAUAAAAGGUUUACUUUAAAACUUACAAAAGCUUAUUCAUGUUUUAAGCACUUUUUCCUUUGUCUUUUUCCCUUCUAAAUUGUGUAUUUUUGAGAAUUUUUUUAUUAGAGCUUUAUAGUUAUUCGUAGCAGUUCGUUCAUCCCUCACAUUCAUACAUGUGUGGAAUUCAAUUUCAGUUUCUGAUCCCCCCUCGCAUCACUAUUCCAGAACAGUUUCAUGGCCCUACACCACACUGUACUCACCAAGCAAUAACUCGCCUAGAAUGGCCUUCACACCACUGCACUGCCCUCCUUCCACCAUCCUGCCCAUUUAUGUGCCACUACAGAGAAAAUCUUCUCCCACCAGGCCUCGCACAUUCCAAGCAAGUGUGCUCCGCCCUCAGACAUCCUCUCUCUCUACUUAUCUUCACAUAAGUGUAAUGAGAGGGUUGUUCAUUUCAGGUCUGCCCACCUCUCUGCUGCCUAUCAGCCCAGGAAGGAGGGUGAGAGUCGGCUUUGUUCACUACAGCGUGGUGCACUUGGCAGGCACCAGGUUCAUAUUUAUGGAUGGAAGAAUAGCUGGUAUGUACAACUGAUAUUUUUUCCUUUCUUCUGAGGAUGGCAAUUGUUUAAAUGAUUUUGUGUCAUUUAGGAUGCCUUUGUUCCCUCUCUUGGCCUUCAGGAUCUGCUCAAACCUUUGAAAGUGUGAUUGCAGAUUCUUCUUCCAUGGGAAGAACAUUCCAGGAAGCCGCACUUGUAGUGAGUCACGGUGUAUUAAUAGCACCACCAAAAUCUGAACAAAGAUGCCAUUAUGUUAUUGCAGAACCCACGAGCUGAGCUGAUUGUCUGCUAAGUGUAUUUGUCAGCUGGGAGCAUCCAUCAUCCUGUGGAAACACUUGAAGUCUUCCACACUCCACUGGUAAAAGUUCUAGAGCCGGAAAUGUGGUCCAAAAAGGAACACUUUUUUUUUUUUUUAAAUUCCAGAUGAAAAACAAAAAGUAAAUCAAAACAAAAAAUUGUUUUAAGUCAGUUACCCACUUUUUAAAUAGUUGAAUGGACGGAACCAAUAAAACCUUUUCCAGGUGAUGUAAAAGUUAUAUUAAACCAGGUGCAAUGGCACACGCCUGUAAUCCCAGUGGCCCAGGAGGCUGAGGCAAGAGGAUUGUCUCUGCUACUUUGAUUCAAAGCCAGCCUCAGCAACUUCGAGGUGCUAAGCAAUUCAGUGAGACCCUGUCUCUAAAUAAAACACAAAAUAGGUCUGGGAUGUGGCUCAGUGGCUGAGUGCCCCUG